GGUUUCAUUUAGCUCAGUUGGUUAGAGUGUGGUGCUAAGAACAGCAAGGUCAUGGGUUCAAUUCCCAUAUGGGCCA